AGUGAACGCUGGCGGUAGGCCUAACACAUGCAAGUCGAACGGCAGCACAGUAAGAGCUUGCUCUUACGGGUGGCGAGUGGCGGACGGGUGAGGAAUACAUCGGAAUCUACUUUUUCGUGGGGGGUAACGUAGGGAAACUUACGCUAAUACCGCAUACGACCUACGGGUGAAAGCAGGGGAUCUUCGGACCUUGCGCGAUUGAAUGAGCCGAUGUCGGAUUAGCUAGUUGGCGGGGUAAAGGCCCACCAAGGCGACGAUCCGUAGCUGGUCUGAGAGGAUGAUCAGCCACACUGGAACUAAGACACGGUCCAGACUCCUACGGGAGGCAGCAGUGGGGAAUAUUGGACAAUGGGCGCAAGCCUGAUCCAGCCAUACCGCGUGGGUGAAGAAGGCCUUCGGGUUGUAAAGCCCUUUUGUUGGGAAAGAAAAGCAGCAGGUUAAUACCCCGCUGUUCUGACGGUACCCAAAGAAUAAGCACCGGCUAACUUCGUG
rnacentral:rRNA from 1 species